UACGUAGGGGGCAAGCGUUGUCCGGAUUUAUUGGGCGUAAAGAGCGUGUAGGCGGUUUGGUAGGUCCGUUGUGAAAACUCGAGGCUCAACCUCGAGACGCCGAUGGAAACCAUCAGACUAGAGUCCGGAAGAGGAGAGUGGAAUUCCUGGUGUAGCGGUGAAAUGCGUAGAGAUCGGCAGGAACACCCAGGGGGAAACCAGUCGACUGGGCAGCACCUGACGCUGAGGUGCGAGAGCGUGGGGAGCGAACCGG
rnacentral:rRNA from 1 species